AGCAAUGUGGCGUAGUGGUAAGGCGCAGGAUUUGCAAUCAAAAGGUUGCUGGUUCGAUUCCCGGCAGGGACACUGCUG